AAAAGCCAGGUGCAGGGGGGUGUUCUUUCUGAAUUAAAAAUUAACCUGAUUUGUGUGGGAGAUCUUAGCAUGCCUGGUUUGCAAUAGUUUGGAGCUGUGCCUGAGCCAGUUAGAUCUGAAAGAAGAGGAACCCACAGCUAACCCCAGCAGUGGCCCAAUCCCGAUGUGCUGAGGAGUGCUGCUUCAACCCGAUGGGAGGCGGGUAGACCUUGGUGUGGCUGCAAAUGUGCUUUUCUUCUGAAGCAAAUUUUGGAUCAUUUCAAGUGCAUCCACAUCAGGAGUCAUAGGAAAAAAUGAUACUCAAUAUUUACUCCAUUAAUAGGGAUAUUAGUCAGAAGUGUUGGAUUAUUCAUGAUGAAGAAGAGCAUAAUUCUGACUAACAUCAGUGGUCACCGUUAUCCAUCGUUUGUCUUGGAACACUUGGGGUCAUUCUGGUCGCCUUGAGAUCCUGCUUGCAGUGGCUUCUUGCUGGUGAGAACAGGAAGAGUAUUUGCCUUCUGCGGCUGUGACGUUUACUGCAUAAUGAAGCCACGGUGCGGGAUUUGAGCUGCAAAUCACUCGAUAACUGCCCAGUUAAGUGGCUGCAGGAGAGGAUCUGUGCACACACGGGAAAUGGAUUUUCUGGAGGGCGGGCUGGGAGCAGCAUCCCUGCUCCAAUGUAGAGCUGUUGGGUGGAGCAUGUGGCAAUGUUGUGGCUUUGUUUUGUUUUUGGUGGCUUUUUU